AUUUAUUCUGUGAUGACUAAAAGGCACUGAAAGAAUAAAACAGCAGUGCAUGAUAUUAAGAUUUUUGUCAGGAAUAAAGUGAUAGCGGCAAUAUAGAGGGUGGAUAGAUAGAAGGACAAAAAAGACCAGAUUCAAUGACAGCCCUCAGUUACCUUUACAGUUUUCUAGACAAGAGAUGAUAAAAGCUCAAGUGAAAGUAUCAUGAGUAGAAAGAACAGUAAGAACUAUUCAGUCAUACAAUUUGAGAGGAAUUAAAAACCAAUUAGAUGUGGCAUAUGAAGAAAAAAUUGUUAAGGCUAAAUUAUCUGGUUUAGGUUACUGCAUUGAUAGUAGUACUCAUUUUAAAAGGACAUGAAAUUUCAAACAUAAACAGGUUCCAGGGAAAAUAAGAAAUUCAAUUUUUAAAAUAUUGGGUUUGGUGAAAAGUUAGAUUUAUAAUUUAAAACUCAAGACAUUAGAGUUAGAUCUAGGAGAUAUCAGCAUUUAUGUGGCAACCAAAUCGCUGGAAUAGGGAUGACUUUCCAAGGGAUCAUAUAAAAAAGAGCAACAGAGAACCAAGGGAACACAUUAGGAAGCAUUGUUACUUUAAGGAGCAGGUAAAAAGGAAAGAAUACUGGUCAUUAAGACAGAGGCAGAAACAGAGAGGCGUGUCAUGAAAGCAAAGGAGUUAUAAAAUCCACAUAAAGGUCAAGAGAAAGCAAAACUUCACAAAGACUACAUACGGUAAGAACUGAAACACAUUCAUUGAUUUUAGCAAUUAAUUAAGAGAUCACAGAUCAUCCAUUUAGCAGCAUUGGUGAGGAUAGAAAUCAGAUAAAAUGAUGGGAGAAGUAGAUGAGAUUUAAAUGUGUGGACAUAGCAAGGAGACUCCUAGGAGACUCUUGUCUAUGAAGGAAGAAAGGGAGGCUGAUACCAAGAGGAGAAAUAUAAUUUAGAGAGUAAGAGUGGCUGUAUCAUGUCCAGGGUUUGAGAAAGAAGACAAAGAGGGAAUGGAUUCAUAUGCAGGAGAGAUGAGAUACCUGAUGAGAAACCAUCCGGGAGAAGCUGGAGUCGAGUAGAAUCCAGUAUAGGUGGAAGGUUAAACCCUGAAGGGGUGAGGGAGAAGACCAAAAUGAAAUUUUGGUGCUCUCUUGAUACUUAGGGCAAGAAAGUGAGGGAAGUCGUUCCUCAAGGCCUCUUUCUUCUCUGCGAAGGUGGUUUUUGGGUGGUUUCUGAUGUUCAUCUGGAGGGCCGUGAGGGAAGGGAAAGGCUUGAUCACAAUGGAUAAGGUUUAGAACAGCUAUAGGGAGAAAAGGCAGGACAUUUAAUCAAGAAAGAAUUGGAGGCUUGGCUGAGAUUUAAUAUAUGUUUAGUGACAUUUGUUCAUUCAUUUACAUAAUCAUUUAUUCAUCAAAUAAAUAUUUAUUGAGCAUCUACUAUGCCUAGGGAUUAUCUGAUUGUUGAGGAGUUACCAAUAAAUGAAAAAAGAAAUUUCCACUCACAUGGAAUUGGGGGAGUGGAUAAAAAACACAAUAAGUAAAUCAUAGCCUAUUCAACCCCGUCACUAUUUUCUGCCUUUUUUCCAAAGGAAGACUACAGUUCCUAUCUUCACAGGUGGCUGUUAGCUCUAAAUGAACUCAUUUAUUUUGAAAGCAUGAUUUAAAGUAUAGUUUUAAACUAUAAGCAUUUCAGAAGUGAUGACCCAUGACUCAAAUCUCAAAAAUAAAUGCUACAGUUCACAGUUGGAAUAUGGACACAAGAAAAAUAAUAGAUGAUGCCACUGAAAGGUAAACAUACCAUUCUGACAUGCAUGAAAAUGAAACGACAAAUUGAUACACGCAGUGCUUGGAAUGGAUGGAGUCCUUCUAAUGAGUGAUUACCUGUGGUAUAACUAUAUUGAUUGUGUUUGUACAUGUCAAAUGGGGCUGGCGAGGAUGAACUUGAAGAAAUCAAUCUUGGAACCUGCUAGGACAGCAGCCUCCUGGUUUCACAGUACUAAAUCAUGACUUCAAAAUUUUGAAGUAAAAGAAAACUGCAAAACUUUGUAAAGGUACCAGUCUCUUCCUGACACUAUUUGCCUUGGCAAAAGAUUCACUGUCAACUUAAAAGACUAACAUGUGCUCAGAUGAUGAUUUGUGGAGGACAGAUAAUUAUGAGUACAUUUAGAAAUACACACUCUUCCAAACCCUGCUCUUUCCAUAUAAUGAAGUUAUUUAUUUCUAUUUUUUAUUUAUUUUUCUAAUAAUUACAAACAUACUUUGGAGACCCACAUUCCUGUAUUAUUCUUUCAACAUACUGAAGAAGAGUUAUUUCUAUGCUUCUUUCUAUGUGUUGGGCUUAAGAUUUAUUAGAAGGAAUGUGUAAAAACAAAGGCAGCAAAGUUUCUAUUUUUAUUGGGAGUCACUCCCGGAGUAAGUGGGGAUAGUUGUGCACACACACACACACACAUUCAUGCACAAAGAAAGAGUGAUCAAGUGUAUAACACACUUUUAGCAGUGUUUUGCUGGAAGAAUAAAGUAUAACUCCUUGUCCGCCCUUUUAUUAUACUGGGGUUCACACUAAGAGAGUCUGAGGACCUGUGGAACUCCCAUUUGCAUGAAAUAACUUUUGCAUCUAUUCUGGAGGAAAACUUCCUAAGGCAGAUUUGGACAGAAAAUUGCUAUCAGCGCAAAUAAAACAAUGCAAAGCCUACUCCGGGGAACGUUGCUCUGCCACCACUACUGAAAUGGGUCAUCCCCUUGGUUUCUGAAUAAAGAAUUAUGAAACCUGGGGCUAGAAUGCUCAGGGAGGAAUUUACCAAUCCAAAUCUUCCCCUUAUGGUAGAGAACAAACUUUCAAGGUUUGUUCUCCACUGUAAGUGUGCGAGGGCUGUUAGGGACCGUAAUAUGGCUGCCGGAGACUGGUGUGUGUACCUCCUUGACUGUACGUCUCAUUUCCAGUUAUGAUUUUACAAUCAUCUCUUUCUCAACCUUUGCUUUUAAAUAUAGGAAGGUACGGCUCACCAUGGAGCGGACAUUUUCUUCAGGAGCGGUACGGUGUCUAAGAUAUGCAGAGGUUGUAUUCUAGUCCUAUAACUCAAUUCUCAAACACAUGGCUUUUAGCCAGGGAUAUCCUAAAGGAAAAUUACACUAUAUGCAACCCCUCCUUACUCCUCAAAUAUUAUCUAUAUUAAACACAGCUGAAAUUUGAGAGUGUCCUUACAGGUGAAAAUUUAACAAUUUAACAAAAGGACACUGCUGAAUGUGUGGGGACAAAGGAAGGAUGAAUCUUUCAUCAUGACAAAAGACUACUUGCCACAUUCUCCCUUAACUUAGAAAAACAGAAAAGAGGCUGGGCGUGGUGGCUCCUGCCUGUAACCUCAGCACUUUGGGAGGCUGAGAUGGGUGGAUCAUUUGAGGUCAGGAGUUCGAGACCAGCCUGGCCAACAUGGUGAAACCCCGCCUCUACUAAAAAAUUCAAAAACUAGCCAGGCAUGGUGGCGGGUGCCUGUAGUUCCAGCUACUCAGGAGGCUGAGGCAGGAGAAUCUCCUGAACCCAGGAGGCGGAGGUUGCAGUGAGUCGAGAUCACACCACUGCACUCCAGCAACAGAGCAAGGCUCUGUCUGUCUCAAAAAAAAAAAAAAAAAAAAAAGAAAAAGAAAGAAAAAGAAAUAGAUGAUGUACCUUAUUUGGUUUUUCCGAUUAACAGUCAUGUUAGUUAAUCCCACAUUCACUACUAAAUAGUCUAGCAAUGUGAAAAAAAAUCAUCUGAAAUCUUAGGUGUUCAAAAAUCUUCUCUUUCUUCUUCACUUCAUUGAAUUUAUAAAUGCUCUAAAAUAAGAUAAUCGCUUCCCCAGUGAAGUACUAUUCAUAUGUGUUACAUAUCUGGCAUACUUUUAUCCUUUUAAAAUUCAGCUAAACAACUGAACCAAAGUUUUUCCAUUUCCCAUUUUUGGAUCAAUCAGGGUGUAAAAUUCAUUUUUAGUUUUUAAAAAGCUAUUUAUGCAAUGAAAUUAUAGCGACUGUGAAUUUUCAAUUUGAUCAACAUGUAUGCAUAUAUAAAAUGGGGUGUGUUUAUUUUGUAAAUAUAUUAGAAUGGUGUUUGUAAGGGGAUAGUAUGUUUGCCUGAAUCUAUACCCAUUUUGUAAGUUAAAUAGUACUGAAGCCUGAUGGUCCUAAAGGCUGCUGGAAAAUACUGAUCAGUCUUGGAGGCACUGCUGAGUUAUCCAUAAAGUAAAAUCUGGGACUGGGUAGAAAUACAGUAAAAUAAAAACUAAGAAUCUACACUGAUGUCUAAGGUUUCAAGGAAUCCUAAGAAGUAGUCACUGUGCUAUGAAAUACAGAUUUUACUCUCCUUGUCACGUGGAUAGGAAUAACAACAGCAGCAAUACAUUCUCAUUAAAUAAUGAUAUAAUAUAAAGGUAGUAUGUUCAUUGUAGAAAAUUUGAAGAAUGCAUAGAAGCACUAAGAAAAAAAAUUAAAAUCAUGUCUAAUCCAUUGUGUACCAGAGAGCUAAGGUGCUUGUGUGUGUGUGUGUGUGUGUGUGUGUGUGUGUGUGCGCGCGUGCACGCGCAUAAACAUUAUGCCUUCUAUAUCUGCUUCCAGCGUUUUCCUAUGCAUAAUUUCCACAGAACCCUAAAAACUACAGUGGUCUGUAUUCUGCUAUUUCAUUAAAAUUAUUAGGGAAGCAUUUCCCAGGCUGCUGCAAAUUAGAUAAUGGGAUGUUGUAUCUCAAAGAGAGGUAGAGAUAGAGAGAGGCGAUUCAUGGUAUGGCUUUAUUAAGUAGUGAAUUUUUCUCUGUGUGUGUGUGUGUGUGUGCAUGCGAGAGAGAGAGACAAAGAGAGGGAGAGAGAGGGAGAGGCAGACAGAAUGUCACAUUCAAGGCACUUAUUUGUGUGUAUCCUGUAUUUCCUUUUUGGUAGAAUGUGAGAAUUAACUCAAAAAUAAAUUUAGGCCCAUAGUGGUCAGACAUCUGCAGUAUAGAAGGUAAAACUUUUAUAAACAACCCAUAAUAACUAAUUCACUGUUACAGAAUACAGCAUCUAAAUUCACAAUAAUAUGCCAAAGAAUUUCUGCUAUUACAGCUGUACAUCUAUUUCUACAGUUCUAAACUUUUGCACAGGAGUCCCUGUCUGUGUCCUCAGUUGACCAUUACCGCUUGCUUGUUCUUAAUUGCCCCAUAUCAAAUUUUAAACCGAAGAAAAUAACAUAUGGGUCUUCUUCACAAAGCUCCAAUUGUUUGUCCUAAAAAUCCAAAAUGAACUAUCACCAUUAAUUUCCUAGCCACAUCUUUCUCAAUAAUGACAUUUUGAUGACCAACUAUAAAAAUAACUUUACUGUUAAAAGUUGAAUUCUACAAGUCAAUAAAAUUAUAGUUGAAUCUAAAAGACCCACUGCUUCCUUCCUCUUAUUUAGGUCUUCUCUAGUUUACUUCCUCCCUUUGUUCUCCCAUUUAUAUUUCUUCUACCCUUUUUCAUUCCUGCCUGCCUUUCUUGUUUCAUUAAUUAAUUCUUCCUUUAUUCUUUUUCCAUUUUUUGCACCUUUAUUCAGUAAACUUACUUGAAUGUGCUGAAUUUAUUGAAAUGUAUGGAAUACUCACCAUAUAUGCACAGCUGUGUUUUUCUGCUGUGUGCAACCUGAAAGCAUUGCUUAUUUCAUCACAGUUGCAGAGAUGAGCGUGAUAUCAGGGAUGAAUAUACCAGUGCACCAAAGUGUCUAUUAUAAACUCAACUGCUCUUAUGUAGACAGAACGACAAAUGAACUGAAAAUUCCACCAACCUUGGAGAGCCCUCUAGGUGCUAAUGUUUGACAGUCAGGAUUCUAAGCAGGCUGCCUGGCAAAGCAAUAAAAGCCUUAAAUGGUUUGGGGACCACAAGUCCCUGCUUUGUAAAGUAUUCAUGAAGUGGAAUGACGAUGACCUGCUACCUUGAUAUGAUUUUCAGUCGCCUCAAGCUCUCUGUGCUGCGUUCAGUUUGACCUGCUUUGCUACCUUUGACAUUGAUCUAUUCUUGAGAUUGUAGCUAUAGGCUUUAUGUUUGAACCUGAGAUUAAAGUUGGAUAUAAAAGUCACCGUAAUGUCUCUGCCUAUAACUUGAUGGGCUUCUAUUGCAGUCCUUUGUACUAAUCAGAGUGGCCACUGAAAAGUCCAUUUGGAAAACAAGAUCUUCCGGGACUUGAGUUGCAAUAAAACCAUUGCAGAAGGUUGAGGGGAAAGAGGGAAGAAAAAGAACGGUCGUGACACUAAAGACCAGUCCUGAAUUAUAGAAGGAAAUCAGAGGGAGUUGCUAUAAAUAGCCACAAGCAGUUUGUAUUUGAUAUUGGUUCGUCCAAUACAUUCAGCUAGAAAUGACAAAAUCAUUAUUUUCCCUUCUCCUCGUGGGUCUCACUUACUAAGAUGCCUCAACGUGUUUCAUUUCCAUUACUCUUUUCCCGUCUGCUUGCUUUGCCACCAGCAAGCUUUUUUAUUCUAUGUCUCAUCCCCAAUAUAGUCGGGAAUACUUACUUACAUUUGUCUGUGCCUAAUAGUAAUUUUCUACAUUCUUCUGUGUCCUUCGCGACUUUUCACCAUAAUGAGUACUUUGCAAAAGGUAAUGAAUUUCUGACUUUUCUCUUGCUGUCUCUCUCUUUCAUUCUGUCCUCCUCUCCCCCUUUUUUUCUGGGACUAUUCUUGAGUUAUUCAGAAUAAAGGAAAAACUACAUAAUGAAGAAUGUAAUGCCAGUAGGAACAUACAAUUGUGCCUUCCAGGUACUAAAAGAGGAGAGAGGAAGACGGCACAGCACAGCUGAUAACGUGGGUGCCCUGCCUCUCCUGUAAAGGGGAUCUUUUCUCUAGCUAAUUUCUACUUAGAAACAAAAGAUUUUUCAGAGAAUGGGGAGAGAGGACUGAAUGAUGCUCCAAUUUGCAUUUCUGUUCACAUAAUACCCAUGUUCAGUUGACUAGAGAAAGGUUCUUUUUUCCCCUUGUUUCAGAUGGAAGCACCUGUUUAAAAAUACUUGAAUCAAAUUUUAUUCACAAUUACUAUUUUUCUCAAACCUGUCUCUGAUUGCCAAGGAAAUACAUUCUGAAAUCUAUUGGGUGUUUUUUUUUUUUUUUUUUAAGUCUGCACUAAAUAACUUACAGUAGCAUGGCAUAGUAAGAAAGAACGUUGUUUCAGGAACUGAAGAUAUAGGUUAUAAUCUAAGCUAUGUCAUUAACGAAGUGUUAUUAAGUAAAUAAUUUAAGCAUCUUGGUCAUCAUUUAUUUUCUUAUAAAAUUAGGAGUUUGUAUCAGAUCAUCUGUAAUUUACUUCCCAGUUUUAAAAACAAAUCUGGUCUUCUGUCACUCUUGCAAUUCAAAAACCGUGUCUCUGAAGCAGAUCAUGUGCGUAGCCCAGCCUGUGGUAGGAAAGUCAGCCCUCCCUCAGGAUGAAAGGUGCUUGCAGAACCUCCACCCACACACCUUCCACACAGGGGUUUCUGAUGCUUUUGCAGAACUGAAAGAAUUGGAAUAGAGAUACACUGAUUUCCACAGAAAUUCUAAGGGAAUCACUGUAAAUUGUCUAAAACCACUUUAAGUACUGUGAUCUAACAACCACAUUUUCAAAGUCACGUUUUUUUGGACUGCUUUGGCUGCUAUCUGCUAUGGCUGACAGAAUUCUGAAACACACACUAGUGCUUUUAAAGUGUGCACGGGAAUCACCAGCUCAUUACUGCUUAAUUCUGUUGCAUCAUUUCUUAAGGAGUUGUUACUGAGAUAGGAAACUGG
rnacentral:lncRNA from 1 species